CGGAUCCGGAGCACACGGAGAGAGGGGCGGCCGAAGCCGGUUGGCUUCGGCCGCCCCUCUCUCCGUGUGCUCGCCCUGC
rnacentral:sRNA from 1 species